rnacentral:rRNA from 1 species
UACGAAGGGGGCUAGCGUUAUUCGGAUUUACUGGGCGUAAAGCGCACGUAGGCGGAUCGAUCAGUCAGGGGUGAAAUCCCAGAGCUCAACUCUGGAACUGCCUUUGAUACUGUCGAUCUGGAGUAUGGAAGAGGUGAGUGGAAUUCCGAGUGUAGAGGUGAAAUUCGUAGAUAUUCGGAGGAACACCAGUGGCGAAGGCGGCUCACUGGUCCAUUACUGACGCUGAGGUGCGAAAGCGUGGGGAGCAAACAGG